CUUCCAUGAGCUCUUCUGCAGCUUUGCUUUCUUUGGUCUGCAGAAGAUCCUCAGGAACGGGAACGUCGGGAACGCAGGGAGAGGAUGGAACGGGAGACCAAUGGAAAUGAGGAUGAGGAAGGGCGGCAGAAGAUCCGGGAAGAGAAGGAUAAGAGCAAGGAACUGCAUGCCAUUAAGGUGCAGGCCUUGGCUCCAUCUUCACUUCUCUCCCACACAAAAAUGAGGUUUAGUUAUUUGGCCAUUGUGAUCUCUGCAUGUGAGAAUUGGGCCUCAAAGCUCAUGUGCUUUGUGUUCUGUCCCUGGGCAGGAGCGUUACCUGGGUGGCAUCAAAAAGCGGCGCCGAACGAGACAUCUCAAUGACCGAAAAUUUGUUUUUGAGUGGGAUGCAUCUGAGGACACAUCCAUUGACUACAACCCCCUGUACAAAGAGCGGCACCAGGUGCAGUUGUUAGGGCGAGGCUUCAUUGCAGGCAUUGACCUCAAGCAGCAGAAACGAGAGCAGUCACGUUUCUAUGGAGACCUAAUGGAGAAGAGGCGAACCCUGGAAGAAAAGGAGCAGGAGGAGGCAAGACUCCGCAAACUUCGUA
rnacentral:sRNA from 1 species